GAAGUUUUGAAAACGUGUCUGAAAGCGCCAAAUCAAGCAGCCUAAAGAGAAGGAGAAAAGAGGAGAGAGGAGGUGGGAGGGCAAUAUGGCAUGUGAACUCUCUCAUGUAAAAGAGAGGAGAAACAAUCAGAGAAGAAAAGAGUCAUGAAAAGAUGAGGAAAAAGGAUGAGGAGAGGAGAGGAGAAGAGAGGAGAGGAGCCAAGAAAACCCUGAACUGCCUCUUCAUAAACUACAAGUGAACCAUGUUUCUACAAAGAUUUUUAGCACGAUCAAACAGUGCAAAACAAGUGUUUGAAAUACAGUGAUGAAAGAAAGAAACAUCUCAGUUUGGUCUCUGUGGUUCUUGCAUUGUUUUUUUGUUUUUUGUUUUUCCCACCUACACCACAUCCAACCAGGUCCUGAACAACAAGCACUUCACUUAGACAAAGUCAAACCUGGACUAGAUUAUCCACAUGAAACUGGUUUCACAGUUUCAGAUUUGUGAAACUUUUGUUUUAUUUGUGAAAACGCAGACAUUUAAAUUCUAU